AUUAAGUUGACGAUAACAGAAAUGCACGAUCAACUUAGUUAUAAGAUGAAAAAAAUGGUUUGGGGUAACAUUUGGUUGUUUCUAUGGAGCAGCUUCAGGGGUGCAUGCGUACAUGGAAACGUCUAUGGAUUCAUUGAAGAAAAUAGCUCUGUUUCUCUAUCCUAGAUUGCUAUAGCCUAUAGGUACGAGAUUCUCUACAUUGAGAAUGUGUCGUUUGUUCUUCACAAUAACCAACCAACCAAUCCCCGUGAGACAGAAUCUGGUACGUAAUGGUUUAGAUUCCCUGAUGCGAAUGACUGACUAAUGGUUUUGUUGGAGAAUUGACUAUAUGUUAGCCAACAUAUUUUUUUUUUUUUGGAUAAAAUGUUAAAAUAUUAUACCAAGCUUUUCAAAUUUUUUACAGAAGGUACAGAGAGAAACUAGUAGCAGCGUGCAAUAAUGAAACCUAAACAGAACAUCUAACAACAACAAUGACCUAAACAAGAAGAACAGAAAACCAAGUUCUGAGCCGAGCUCCAGCGAAACAGUGAAGGACCCGAGGAGAAGCAAGAGCGGAAUGGGGACGUAGUUGCCACGAGCAAACUGGAGAGAAAGGCGACCUCAAACCUUGAAACACACAGCGCCUACAGCUUCCAAGCCACCCACACAUCAAAACCACUGCAAAGGAAUCGCAAUCUCGGACCCGCAAGCUUAUCCAACAUCACCUAACCGGCAGCACGAGAAGGAAUCCGCAGCCGACGAUGCCGUCGUUCGGAGAGGUUAGCUGAAGAUUGCUGCCUCCAACCCACCUAACCGAGACCGUUUACACCCCUUUAACCCAAAGCCCAUAUAGAGCAAUGGGACCGGAAGGGCACACCUCCUCCGGAAUAGACAAUGUCGGACAAGGAAUUAGGCCGAUAGCCCAACUGAAACCAAGCUUCGAACAGAGAAACCGAUUCGCUCCCACUUCAGUCACUGCCACUGCAAAAUGAAAACACAAGAGAGAUAGAGCCCGCAGCGAGGAGUGCCACACCGACGAACCCACUCCGACUUCGAGGAGUAGCGACUAAUCUCACGCGCCAAGACGAACUCGACACAGCAAGAGAGCGCAACACCAACACGCACCGCCACAAGAUCCUGCUACAAGGCAAGCCAGAACCAACCCUGAACAAGACCAUACGCGCUUCCUCUGUAGACCCCAGAGGAACACGAAGAGGAGCAGAAGAAACCCAAGAUCCAUGGACCACAGGAUCCAACCCUAACAGAGCAACCGUCACGGAGGAGACGAACCCUAAGAAGAUUGUUCGAAGAUUCACGCACCGCCAGACUCGAAGAAACCCAGCCGAGAAGAAGAAAAUCUCUCUGUCAGAGAUUUCUAGGCGAGCCCGAGAAACUGAGACGACGAGGAAGAAGCCGUCCUCUAACCUCAUCACAACGCCAUACACAGCUCAGAUCUGCCAUUGAAACCGCCGGAUCUGGAACCAGAGAGGAUCCCGGCUGAGCUAAGCCUCCGCCGAGAAAGAAGGAUAGGAGAGAGGAGAGGAGAACACAGAGAUAGACGGGAGAAGCAGAGCAGAAGAGGGAAGAGAGGAGAGGCUCCGGCGACCGCCUAAAGGGACACGGCGGUCACCGGGAAACAACGAAAACCCUAGGCGGCUGAACUUUUGGUAGAGAGAAGGGAGAGGAUAAGAGAUAAGAGAGAGAAACCCUAGUUCAUGUCGUUAGCCAACAUAUUAUAUGUGUUAUCUGUAUAAAUAGAUAUUUUAUUCUUUAUAGCCAAAACUUCAAUAGUGGUGUUGGGCUCAUACUGACCACUCUUUUUUACGCUUAGCUUCUGAUAAUCAAUUGUUCUGGAUCUUUAUAGGUCUCGAGUUCACGUGCCUACUAGACAGACUCAUGCGAUAAUAUACAGCUUCAGAUACAUUUUUUUGGUUUGUAACGCACUGAAAUUUUCAGCAUUAGUUUGUAAAAAACUGUAAUUAGUCGUAGUAAACUACUGUGAAACGUUUAAGAAAUUGUAAUUAACACUUUUCCAAUAAACAAAAAAAAAACUGAAUUAAGGCCCCU
rnacentral:lncRNA from 1 species